rnacentral:rRNA from 1 species
CCUACGGGUGGCAGCAGUAGGGAAUAUUGCACAAUGGGGGAAACCCUGAUGCAGCGACGCCGCGUGGAUGAAGAAGUUUUUCGGAAUGUAAAGCUCUAUUAGUAGAGAAGAUAAUGACGGUACCUGACUAAUAAGCCCCGGCUAACUCCGUGCCAGCAGCCGCGGUAAUACGGAGGGGGCAAGCGUUAGCCGGAUUCACUGGGUGUAAAGGGCGCGUAGGCGGGAAAGUAAGUCAGAAGUGAAAUCCUAUGGCUUAACUAUAGGACUGCAUUUGAAACUGUUAAGCUAGAGUACGGGAGAGGUAGGUGGAAUUCUUGGUGUAGCGGUAAAAUCCGUAGAGAUUAAGAGGAACACCAGUUGCGAAGGCGACUUACUGGAACAUAAAUGACGCUGAGGCUCGAAAGCGUGGGGAGCAAACAGGAUUAGAUACCCGAGUAGUC